GAGUUUGAUCCUGGCUCAGGAUGAACGCUGGCGGCGUGCCUAAUACAUGCAAGUCGGGCGAACAGAUAAGGAGCUUGCUCCUUUGACGUUAGCGGCGGACGGGUGAGUAACACGUGGGUAACCUACCUAUAAGACUGGAAUAACUCCGGGAAACCGGGGCUAAUGCCGGAUAAUAUUUAGAACCGCAUGGUUCUAAAGUGAAAGAUGGUUUUGCUAUCACUUAUAGAUGGACCCGCGCCGUAUUAGCUAGUUGGUGGGGUAAUGGCUUACCAAGGCAACGAUACGUAGCCGACCUGAGAGGGUGAUCGGCCACACUGGAACUGAGACACGGUCCAGACUCCUACGGGAGGCAGCAGUAGGGAAUCUUCCGCAAUGGGCGAAAGCCUGACGGAGCAACGCCGCGUGAGUGAUGAAGGUCUUCGGAUCGUAAAACUCUGUUAUUAGGGAAGAACAAAUGUGUAAGUAACUGUGCACGUCUUGACGGUACCUAAUCAGAAAGCCACGGCUAACUACGUGCCAGCAGCCGCGG
rnacentral:rRNA from 1 species